rnacentral:misc_RNA from 1 species
AAGUCGUAACAAGGUUUCCGUAGGUGAACCUGCGGAAGGAUCAUUUCCGAAAAAAAAAAACUAUACCAACCCACAGUGUGCUUAGUUUUGGGUCCCUUUUUUUUUACUCUUUCAUGGUUUUAUACAAGGGGACGUGCGUGUGUGGCAACACAUGCGCUCUAUAACCUUGUAUAAUAUAUAUGCCGUGAGAGAGGCCUUGAUGAACUACCUCCAUGUUCUCUUAUUUUCCUAUAUGUACAUACAUGUGCAUAUACGAGAUAUGAGCGCAUCAGGUUGAUGUACCAUGAAGUGAUACUUUAAAACAGUAUACAUUAAAAAAAAUGAUACGACAACUUUUAACGGUGGAUCUCUUGGCUCGU